UACGUAGGGUGCGAGCGUUGUCCGGAAUUAUUGGGCGUAAAGAGCUCGUAGGCGGUGUGUCGCGUCGGGAGUGAAGACACCGGGCUUAACUCGGUGCUUGCUUUCGAUACGGGCAGACUAGAGGCAUGCAGGGGAGAACGGAAUUCCUGGUGUAGCGGUGAAAUGCGCAGAUAUCAGGAGGAACACCGGUGGCGAAGGCGGUUCUCUGGGCAUGUCCUGACGCUGAGGAGCGAAAGUGUGGGGAGCGAACAGG
rnacentral:rRNA from 1 species